rnacentral:ncRNA from 1 species
GGGGCCCUGAGCCACCAGUGUGAUACCACUCUGGAAGAGCUAGAAUUCUAACCUUGUGUCAAGACCUAUGGGCCAAUGGACAGUUUCAGGUAGAUAGUUUCUAUGGGGCGUAAGCCUCCCAAAAGGUAACGGAGGCGUGCAAAGGUUUCCUCAGGCCGGACGAAAAUCGACCCUCGCGUGCAAAGGCAGAAGGGAGCUUGACUGCAAGACCCACCCGUCGAGCAGGGAUGAAAUUCGGCCUUAGUGAUCCAACGGUGCCGAGUGGAAGGGUCGUCGCUCAAUGGAUAAAAUUUACUCUAGGGAUAACAGGUUGAUCUUCCCCAAGAGUUCACAUCAACGGGAAGGUUUGGCACCUCGAUGUUGGCUCUUUGCCACCUGGGGCGGUAGUACAUUCCAAGGGUUGGGUUGUUCGCCCAUUAAAGAGGUACGUGAGCUAGGUUCAGAACGUCAUGAGACAGUUCAGUCCAUAUUCGGUGCAGGCGUUAGAGCAUUGAGAGGACCUUUCACUAUACGAGAGGAUCAGGAAGGACGCACCUCUGGUGUACUAGUUAUCGUGCCCACGGUAGAUGUUGGGUAGCCAAGUGCAGAGAGGAUAACUACUGAAAUAAUAUAAGUAGGAAGCCCACCCCAAGAUGAGUUAUCUCCUAUUCUUACUUCCCUGAGAUCCCUAGUCACGAACACGACUGGGACAACGAUGGGUUCUCUGUCCUUACAGGGGAUGGUGCGACAAAAGUAUUGAGAAUCCAAGAUAAGGUCACGACGAGACAGGUCGUUUAUCAUUACAAUAGUUGUCAAGUGGAAGUGCGGUGAUGUAUGCAGCUGAGGCAUCCUAACAGACUGACAGAUUUGAACCU